AUCAGGAUGCCCAACAAUUUCUGUGCACCAUUUAAGAGAGCACGGUCCUCCCGCACAUUGUUGUCAACUUCAAUAAUCUUGGACCCGACCAGGAGUUGCAUCACCAUCCCAGAUGUGACGAUGGGGGUGAUCCCAAGCUCCAUGACAGUACCACGAUUGGAAGCGAGGAUCACACGCAUCCAAUAAAACGGAUCUGCGCCCGUGGUGGAAUGAAUCCCAUACAGAGGAAGCUGGCUGCAUACCAAGAAGAUGAAGAGGGCGAUGACAGUAUAAAUAACCUUCUCCCUGAAUGGAAUUUUCCGAUCGGCACUCUGCACCUCAGGGAGAAACGAAAGGAAUGGCCUGACCAGAUGAAGGACUCUAAACCCACCUCCCAUCUUCCUUCAACCAACUUAUUAUCAACAACCCGUGGCGCGGCAAGAGGAAGAGGAAGAGUCAAAGGCGACGGGUAAUCGUAAGGAUUG
rnacentral:misc_RNA from 1 species